rnacentral:rRNA from 1 species
GACGAACGCUGUCGGCGUGCUUAACACAUGCAAGUCUAACGGAAAGUCCCUGCUUUUGGGGGGUGCUCGAGUGGCGAACGGGUGAGUAACACGUGAGUAACCUGCCCUUGACUUUGGGAUAACUUCAGGAAACUGGUGCGAAUUCCGGAUAUGAGCCCCUGCUGCACUGUGGGGUUGGGAAAUAUUCGGCGGUUGGGGAUGGACUCGCGGCUUAUCAGCUUGUUGGUGGGGUAGUGGCUUACCAAGGCUUUGACGGGUAGCCGGCCUGAGAGGGUGACCGGCCACAUUGGGACUGAGAUACGGCCCAGACUCCUACGGGAGGCAGCAGUGGGGAAUAUUGCACAAUGGGCGGAAGCCUGAUGCAGCAACGCCGCGUGCGGGAUGACGGCCUUCGGGUUGUCACCCGCUUUCGCCUGUGACGAAGCGUGAGUGACGGUAAUGGGUAAAGAAGCACCGGCUAACUACGUG